AAUGGACACAAUGAAGCAGGCCCAGCCGUUCCAGUACUCCGUGGGUGGAACAAAUGCAAACAGAAUCUUCCAGAACACUGUCAUCACAUGCAUGAAAUAAUCACAGCAAGAUGGUUGCUGAGGCUCUCCUCCUUCCUCAUCACCUUCUCAUGAGAGGAAGGAAAGAAAGAGAGAGAAAGAAAAAUGACAGAACAGGGUGGGUCUUCGCAGGGCUGAUGACUGCCAGGAUGAGGUAGAGCCAGAUGUAUGCAAAGAUGCUCCAGAAUGCAGUAAUGAAGAAGACUCUCAGGUGUUUGAUCUUCCUCACCUCUCCGUCAGGAGAGUGAAUUCUUGUAAAAAUGAGUUGACCGUUUCUGGAGACAUCACAUGAGCCCUGUCCAUUUAACUGACCACCCCUGUGUCAAACUACAUUGAGUUAAAGGAUGUCUUUACAUGGAUGAACUGGGGUUGAAGUCAACACUGUAAAAUGAUCAGACAGCAGUAUCUCAGGGGCUGAUGAACCCAGGGCCAUGAGUGUGAGAUUGGAGACAGUCUCAUUCCAGAUUCUAACUGUCAUUACAGUCUUCUCUCCAUUUGCACCUGUCACAGUCACCUCUUUCUCCUACAGGAC